CUACGGGGGGCUGCAGUGGGGAAUUUUGGACAAUGGGCGCAAGCCUGAUCCAGCAAUGCCGCGUGCAGGAUGAAGGCCUUCGGGUUGUAAACUGCUUUUGUACGGAACGAAACGGUGAGCUCUAAUACAGUUUGCUAAUGACGGUACCGUAAGAAUAAGCACCGGCAACUACGUGCCAGCAGCCGCGGUAAUACGUAGGGUGCAAGCGUUAAUCGGAAUUACUGGGCGUAAAGCGUGCGCAGGCGGUUAUAUAAGACAGAUGUGAAAUCCCCGGGCUCAACCUGGGACCUGCAUUUGUGACUGUAUGGCUAGAGUACGGUAGAGGGGGAUGGAAUUCCGCGUGUAGCAGUGAAAUGCGUAGAUAUGCGGAGGAACACCGAUGGCGAAGGCAAUCCCCUGGACCUGUACUGACGCUCAUGCACGAAAGCGUGGGGAGCAAACAGGAUUAGAUACCCGUGUAGUC
rnacentral:rRNA from 1 species